rnacentral:rRNA from 1 species
UGUGUAGGCGGCCAUGCAAGUCGGAUGUGAAAGCCCCGGGCUCAACCCGGGAAGUGCACCCGAAACUGCACGGCUUGAGUAUCGGAGAGGUUGGUGGAAUUCUCGGUGUAGAGGUGAAAUUCGUAGAUAUCGAGAGGAACACCGGUGGCGAAGGCGGCCAACUGGACGAAUACUGACGCUGAGACACGAAAGCGUGGGGAGCAAACAGGAUUAGAUACCCUGGUAGUCCACGCCGUAAACGAUGGGUGCUAGGUGUCACGGGCAUUGACUCCCGUGGUGCCGUAGCCAACGCAUUAAGCACCCCGCCUGGGAAGUACGGCCGCAAGGCUAAA